rnacentral:rRNA from 1 species
UACGUAGGGGGCAAGCGUUGUCCGGAAUCAUUGGGCGUAAAGCGCGCGUAGGCGGCCCGGUAAGUCCGCUGUGAAAGUCCAGGGCUCAACCCUGGAAAGCCGGUGGAUACUGUCGGGCUCGAGUCCGGAAGAGGCGAGUGGAAUUCCUGGUGUAGUGGUGAAAUGCGUAGAUAUCGGGAGGAACACCAGUGGCGAAGGCGACUACCUGGCCCACUCUUGACGCUGAGGCGCGAAAGCUAGGGGAGCGAACGGG